GUGUGACAGGGUGCCCUGUGCGCCUCCAGCUGCAGUUUGGGAAGGGGUGGCAGAGCCAACUCCCAGAGGGGGAAUGGGACUUGCUUAAAAGGUGCCGAGCAGCUGCUGCUGGCAGCAGUGGUUCAGACUGGCAGCACACGGCUGUCCCCUGCGCCGCAGGGCCGGUGGAGGCUGACGGCUGCCUGAGCCAUCUGCGGGAGCAGAGCUGGGGAGCCCGGGCCCAAAAGUGCGAUAUCCUCAAGAAAAUCCUCACUUUUGGGUGGCAAAGCCAAAAAUCCCUACUUUUGGGUCCCACCCAGAAGUAGUGCUGUGUGGUGAGAUCUCCUGCACCCCUGCUGCUGGGCAGAGGGGGAUAAUCAGGGUGCUGAAGAGACGAUGCUCCAGAGUCUGUGCAGCGGGUGACAGCUUAGAAGUGCUGCCCCAACAGGACCUCAGCGCCUCUUGGCAGAACAGAGGCUUUCCUUCUCCAAAGACAGCUCUGUCUCCAACUUCUUGGCCCAGGGACCCAUCAGGAGGGAUUAGAGCUGCUGCCAGAGGGCUGCUGUGGCACCGUGAUGGGCAGGAGGUCUGGGGCAGUGUGCGAUGCUGGGCAGCGGGGAAUACGUGUCCUCUUGGGAAGGCUGCAGGCAGUCACCUUGAUGCUUUGCUGCUGAGAUCCUGAGGUUGGCAUCUUUGGGAUAAGUCCUUCGGGGGGCAAUAAGCUAGACAAGCCAAUUGGCAAGUGGUGGAGCUGGAUAAGGACAGGCCAGCCAGAGGAAGAGCAGAUGUGGCGGGGGUCAGCAGUCCUCCUUAGCAAAGCCUUGCUAACCUCCUUUUGCUUUGCCUUGGAGAAAGCCGUUUUGCCUUGGUACCACCUCACCUCUACCAGUUUUCUCUCAUCCCCUUGUAUGAGCUGAGCCAUUUAUCCCCAGGGUAUUUUCUAGGUUUGCCCAGCUGCCUCCAUCCAUGUUUUGUGUUACAUCCUUCACAGAUUUUCUUGCCCUUUCUGUGCCCUCGGUUCUGAAGUGUUGCUCCAAAACGCCAGGGCCUGGGAGUGGGUUAGUAGAUGCAGCUGUUAUCCCCACGUACUGCUGAAAACAGAGAGGAUUGCUCCCACAGAAUGGGAGUGCAGGCGUUGUAAAAGUGUUGGGAAAUUGCUUACCCUGGCAGUGUGUGAGUAACGGGACUUUUAUGGUGCCUCGUGCAGUGGUGGGAUAACAAGGAAGGAGCUUCCACGAGAGGGGCCGAUACUGCGCCAUGAUUUAGAGCACCACUUGUGGUCCUGCUUGUGCACUGUGGUCUGACAUUUGCAAGCUCAUAAUCUUCCUUUAUGAACCAGGCAUGAAGAAGGACCACUUAACAAUGUGGAGCAUGAGCCAAGCAGCAUAUAUCCGUUCUCUAAAUUUUAUUAUUACUACUUUUUUCACAUGCUUCCCCACCAUUCUGCUUCCUUGGGCUCCUUCCUUUCCAGCCUCAUGCCUGCUCUGACCUCGGAGAAGUUCCCUGUGGCCAACCCCUGGUCUCCCAUGGUGUCCUGCCAGGCCCAGUAAAGCUGAGACUCAGAAAGGUGAAGCAAGAGCUCUGGAGAGAAAUGAGCUGCUGCUUUACACAGCGAUGCAUGAGAAACCUGGAAAUGCUCAGAGCUGUUUCAGCCAUGACAGCCUCUCCUCAUUAUUAUGGAAAAUAUAGGGUUGGUGGUAAUUACUAUCUGAGUCUGAAUGGGAGCAGAAGUGGGCAUAGACUGCACUGGCCUUUCUUUGACAAGCAUCAGACUUGCCUGAGAAUUGCAUCUGUAUAGUAAAGAGCCAUGAAAUAAUUUUCUUGUAGGUGGAGUUUCCUGCUGAGCCAAAUUUAUUUCAGGCUUUCUUUGAAAUGUAAAAGAAAAGGCCAUGGUUGCCAAAUGAAAAUAAAUGUAUUUCUAUUGGGUACAAUGGCAGAAAGGUAUAAGAGAGCAACGACUAAAGCAGAGAAGAAGGAGGAAAAUCUGAUUAAUUGCUUUCAGUGGAAGGUAGGCGCACUCA